rnacentral:misc_RNA from 1 species
AUGGUUGUCUGUGGUUGCAGCUGCCCGUGCAUGAAUGGCGGGAAGCCCGGGCGCCGGGGACUGACGGGUCAUGCAGCGUCUGCGCACCACGUUCAAGCGGUCCCGAACCCCUACCGGCGCCGAGAUGAAGACCCAGAGCAGCUUGGAGGUGCCCAAGCAGGUGCGGUCCGCCUCCUUCGACGAGAUCCAACUGGAGGCGAAGCGGGCCCUCCAGCACCAGACGUCCGAGUCGGGGAGCUUCCUGUCGGUCCCCACCCACUCGCAGCGAUCAAAGAGCUUCGAUGGAGGCGGCGGUGGGGGAGAGGACCCGGGCAUGUUCUUGGAAGUUCCCCGCGGACGGUUUCAACGGAGGAGAUCGUCCGGUGAUAAGUCCCCACCGGUGUGUGUCCACUGCAUCUACAUGGAGGAGUACCUGAGGAUGAGGACACCGCCGGGGGAGGAUCCCCCACACCUGAGAUCCUUCAGUUACAGCGACACGUCCACCGAAGACGACAUCGACAGUGACCCCGAGCCCCUCCUGGACCUGGACCUGGAGCCGCCUCUGACUCCGAUGACCCCUCAGUGUUGUAUCACCGUCACUUUGUCGCCCAACCCCAGUACGCCCUCCGCGUUCGACGAUCCGCCUUCCCCUUCGACCCGGAGAAGAUCGAUAACCUCUCCCAAACUGGAACGUCAAGAAGCCUUUAUAUUCAACGAAAACCUUCUAGAGCCCCCUUCGCCGGAUGAACCUCCUCCCACACCCGUCCCCAAUUCCCUGAUAGUCAGUGAGUUCUUCCUGGCGGUUCCUGAGCUGAAGCGGGACCGUGCGGCCUCGGUGGACUCUUGCUUCAUCAACAAGCACGCCGGCAAGACGGAGGAGAUCCCCGAGGUUCCUUCGACUCAGCUGUUGCUGGAGCCUCCACCGCUCGGGCCUAACGCCCUCCGCUCUCGGUCAGUAGACAUCGUCCUGCCGACCGACACCCAGGCCCGGUACAAAGCACUGGCCAUGACUUCUGCACGCACGUCUGAGAAGGGGAAGGCAGUGCAAGGCGGGGGCGGUGCGGACGCGGGGGCGGAGGCGGCACAACGAAGUAUUCGCUCGACCCCAGACUGGAGUGAAGGUGCGGUGAACGGCGACCAUCUUUGGUCCCCAACCAACGCCUCGGGGGACUUCUGCUACGUGGGCGAAGGCGACUGUACGAAACACGGUGGCCGGAUGAAGUGCUCAGCAUGCAAGAUAGUGGCGCACUCCGGUUGUAUCGGCGUGCUGAUGGAUCGAGUCAAGUUCACGUGCAAGCCGACCUUCAGAGAUGUGGGUGUGCGACAAUACCGCGAGCAGACCUGCAUCCACCAUCACUGGGUCCACCGGCGCUCGCAGAAGGGGAAGUGCAAGCAAUGCGGCAAGUCGUUCCAGUCCAAGUUGUCGUUCAGCUCUAAGGAGAUUGUUGCGCUGAGUUGCUCCUGGUGCAAGACCGCCUAUCACAACAAGGAGGCCUGCUUCAACCUCCAGAAGAUUGGGGAGGAGUGUAACCUAGGUCAUCACGUCAACAUCAUAGUUCCACCGUCUUGGAUUGUGAAACUCCCGAGAAGAGGCAGUUUCAAAUCUAGCCUUCGAAAAUCGCCUAAAAAGAAGCCAUCGAGUAAAAAGCGAAGUAAAGAAAAGGUAGAAAAAGAUCCCAAGACCUUUGUAAUUAAACCCAUCCCUACUGCCAACGUUCGGCCGGUCAUUGUGUUCAUCAACCCCAAGUCCGGGGGCAACCAAGGUACUAAACUGCUCCAGAAGUUCCAGUGGCUUCUGAACCCUCGACAAGUGUUUGACUUGACUCAAGGUGGUCCCAAGAUGGGGCUGGAGUUAUUCCGUAAAGUGCCUAAUCUGAGAGUGCUGGCGUGCGGGGGCGACGGCACCGUAGGGUGGGUCUUGUCUAUCCUGGACCAGCUUGCCUUCUCUCCCCCGCCAGCUGUGGGGGUGCUGCCCCUCGGCACAGGCAACGACCUAGCCCGUGCCCUGGGCUGGGGAGGGGGAUACACAGAUGAGCCUAUAUCCAAGAUCCUGGCGAACAUCGGUGAGAGUGAUGUAGUCAACCUGGACCGCUGGGAACUCAAGGUGGAGAAAAAUACUCAGGCGGAAGCCAAUGAAGAGGGUAAAGAGAAUUUGCCGCUCAACGUAGUCAACAACUAUUUCUCCCUCGGUGUGGACGCUCACAUAGCACUGGAAUUUCAUGAAGCUAGAGAGGCACACCCGGAGAGGUUCAACUCUCGACUACGGAACAAGAUGUUCUACGGCCAGAUGGGUGGCAAGGAUCUGCUUAGGCGCAAGUGGAAGGGGUUAGCAGAACUGGUAACACUGGAGUGCGACGGCAAGGACAUGACACCCAAACUGAAAGAACAUAAGGUCCAUGCCAUUGUCUUUCUCAACAUUCCUAGUUAUGGUGGAGGCACUCACCCAUGGAAUCGUGCCCAGGGAGUAGAGCAGUCUACAGAAGAUGGCAUGAUCGAAGUAGUUGGAUUAACAACCUACCAACUACCACUGCUGCAGGCGGGUGGCCAUGGUACCACCAUCUGCCAAUGCCAGUCCGCCAAGAUAGUCACCACCAAGACCAUCCCGAUGCAGGUGGAUGGAGAGGCUUGCAAGCUUACACCUUCCAUCAUCUCCAUGAACUUGCUGAAUAAGGCUCCAAUGUUGGCCAAGCGCAGGGGAGGCAAAGCUCAUGUUCCGCAAACUACGCUAGAGCAGCUGAGGGUGACGGUGUACAGGAUAAGCAUGGCCGACUACGAACAACACCACUACGACAAGCAGCUCCUGAAACAAGCAGCAAUAAAAAUGGGGGAAAUCGAAGUUGCCGCAGUGGCAGAUUUAGAACAAGUUCGGCAAAUGGUAAACAAACUGCAAGAAACCCCUUCGGAAUCAUCGGACAGUUGCCCAAAACUGUCUCCAGACUGGUGUUUUGUCGAUUCAUGUACAGCUGAAAGAUUCUUCCGAGUGGAUCGCGCCCAGGAACACCUCCACUAUCUAACUGACAUCUCCAACGAGGCGCUGUACGUUUUGGACACCCUGCCUCAAACACCAGAUGACGAGACAGCAUUUCCAUCUCCUGCAACGUCAAACCACCAGUCUCCGAGCAGCCUACCAGGCGAGCAGACCACUCCCGAGCUGAGCCCUAGCGAUGAAAUGCCUCAGAGACCUCACCAGCUCUCUCUGAACAGCAGCAACCGAGUACAGGAACUGAGGACACCAGAUGAUGACUCAGCGUUCAAUAAUACCACAGAUGGCUCACCCAUCGCGGCAGGAACCACCAACUACAUUAGCAAGAUUCAAGAGCGUUUGUUUGGAAUAGGGUUGUUUAACUACAGCAAUCUCUUGGAAAAAACAUCGGACGGCAUCAUCCGGGCAGCUAGGAAUGGAGAUCUGAAAAUGCUGAAGGAGCUGCAUGGACAGGGGUUCUCACUUCUGUCCAUCGAUGCUAGUGGUCAGACUGCUCUUCAUCACGGUGCAAGAUUCGGACACAAGGACAUCGUAAAGUACCUCAUCGCUUGUGCCCCCUCCUCCAUACUCAACAUGGCCGAUAAUGACAAGGGGCAAACAGCACUACACAAGGCAGCGGUUACCAAGCGGCGCAGUAUCUGCUGUAUGUUGGUGGCUGGUGGUGCAGCAUUGAACAUGACCGACCGAGAGGGCAAGACAGCUCGCCAGUUGGCAAUACAGGCAGAUGACCAAGACCUUGCUGCAUACCUGGAGAACUUAUCAACGGCGUCUGUGAUUGAUUAUACUGUGAACAGACUGGGGAUGAUUCAAAACCAUGUGAAUAAGAAACUGAAAAGGCCCUUAAAAAAGUCAAAAUAAAGACUUGCGAUGAAUAAAAAGGAGAUGUUUUUUGAAGAUACCAAGAUCCUAACAAAGGAUUGCUUAGGGCCAAGAGAGUUUCCAGCUGACCGGUGAAGAUGUGGAGACGGUGGUCUGAGGCCGGGUUUGUCGUUGUGUGCUUGAAUCCCGAUAUCUCGUCAAUUAUCCCCCUCCUGCUUCAUCAUAUCAACUGCAGACCUAGCAAUGCCUUCACUUCAUACUACCGUGUUGUUUUCUAAUACAGUAUCGUAACAUACGUCAGUCUCUUAGGUGUAGAACUAAUAGUGCAAUCAUAUUUUAACAUAAUGGACACUAUUUUUAAUACUGAAGAUUGUCUAUCAUUCAAGCAUUAUGAGAUAUUCUGAUCUACUGUGAACCUCUGAACAAGUCAUUCUUGUAAAUUUUAACAUAUUGUACAGAAAAUUAAUCAAAAUGAGCCUUUUUCUCUUGAGUAUUUGGAAUUUUAUUUUGUGAAAUGAUUUAUUUUUUGUACUACUUGUAUAGGUUGUGCACUAUUUGCAUUUACGGUUAGGAAAAUGCAUGUUGUAUCUAUUAUCAAAUGGUGCAUAUAGUGUAACUUUAUUUUAUUUUUUUACUCCUGAUAUAUAAUUUUACUUAUUGAUAAAAAAUAAUAUGCGGUGCCAAAGUGUUUAAUUAAAAAUAUUAACUUUUAUGGUGUUUUUUGUUAAACAUAUUAGAUUAUCUUACGAAAUAUAACUAGUAUUUAUGAUUUACAGUUUGUCUUUAAAUCAAGUCAAUUUAAUACAAAUUCUGUAACAAACUCUUUACUAUAACAAUACAAAUAACAAAUCUCAGUGAAAUAUGUAGAGUAAUGCUUCUGAAUUAUAUAAAAAAACUAAUCAGUGUUUUUGCAUUAAUACUGUACGAUUUUCAAGAAGCAUGAGUAUAGUAUUUGUAUUUCUUGUGCUUUGCAAUGGGACCUUGUAUAUAUUUGGGGGCUUCUACUCCAAGACCAAUACCCUGUUUAGCCUGAAUGCACUCCUUAAAUUAUAUUUAUAACUAUUGUAAGAACUAAGAAGACACCAACUUGUUUUAUAUUCAGCGAACUACUUGCAUAUUAUAUAUAGAAACUAAAAAUAUGAAAUGAAUAAGUAUUAGGAUGUUUUUACUCAUUGUAUACAUAGAAUAUAUAUUUCAACUAAAAAUUAAAAGAAUUUGUAUUGUAAAAUGUAUAGUCUUCUACUACCUAUUUGAACUUAUGGCCUUUUUUGCACAUAUGAAAUGAACAUUUUGAUGUAACUUAUCUAUUCAAUAAGCUUGCAAUGUCUGUCCAUAUCUAUAUUUUCAGCUCUAUAAGUAAUGUACAUAAGGGAACAAGGUGAAAUGUUGCAAAGUUUUAUCCGCCUUUUUAUGUAAGCAUUGAUUUGGGGUAGAUUUUAACACUCCACACCCAACAGAACUAUGAUAAAAAUACUAUCUUGAAUCAUUAGACGGUCCAUGGAGUGCAAGACAUAAAAUUUUGAAACAAUUUAGUUAAGAUUAAAAAAAACUAUUUGUUUAUAUAUAAUUAAUUAUAUAUUUAAAAACUUCCUAAGUUAAUAUAACAUGUUGACCUCUAUAAUAUUGCUCUUACAGCAACUGAAUAUUCUUUAUUCUUGUAAUUAAUGUUGUAUUUUUGAUACCAUGACUGUAGGUACUUAAUAUUGAUGUUAUUAAAAAGUAAAACACUAAAGUAUAAAUAUUAAUUUCUGUAUUAUAACAAGAAACAUUUUUAUUACUUCCCAAUUUACACUUUCUAAAUAUUUGGAUUUAUACUUCAUUAAUUAUAUUCGAAUUUUGAACUCUUGGGUAGCAUGGAAUUUAAAGGCUGAAUCCCCAUGUAAUAACUAUGGUUAUAUUUUUAAAUACAAUAGCAUUAUAUUAUAUUUUUUAUUAAUAACUAUACAUAAUGCAAGAUCAAACUAUGAAAACUAAAUCCAAAAUUAUUAAUUUUAUUCAAUCCAGAUUACAUAAUAAAAUUAUUAAUUUUAUCAAAGUACGAAUUUACUUACUCUAGCGCAAACUUUCUGAUUCUAAGCUUCACAGGAAUUUUUUUGUGUAAAUAUUUCCAACACUGCUUAACAAUCACAGUAUUCUGUCUAAUAUCUUCCUACUCUGUUAUCAUCUUCACAGACACACCCAAUUUUAAUAUGUCUAAUCUUGACACAACUUGUUUUAAUAUUUGAUAAGUUAUCAGAACUUUGUUAAAAUUUAGUUAUAUAUUCCUUGACACACUUUCUGAUCUAAGUAUUGAAUUUUAAAUGGUGUAAACCAUGUAAGUUAGUUUGAAUAUGAAAUAAUUCAUAUUCAAUCAAGUGAAAAACUGUCAAAUUCUUAUUUUGUUGCAGUAAUAAUUUUAUAAUUUUGUAAAGAACUUUGAUACAGAUAAGUCAGUACCUACUUAAGUUAUUUAAUGUUAUGAAAAUGUUAAAAAUAUAAUCACAAUUAAAAUUAAUUUGAUUCUCAUAGACCUAAGGUUUUUUUUUAUGUACAGAACUAAUAAGUUUUGUUACAAGAACUGACAACUUAUUAUUUAUGUCAAUUAUGCUUAAAACAGAUGACCAAUAAAACUUGUAAAAAAAGAAAACAUGUCUACAUUGUAUGCAAGUAACAUUGGAUCUGUAAUAAUUGCUAGAUCUUUAUAUGUUUAACUUGUAAAGACAAAGCCAAAAAAGGAUGGGUUUAGGAGUAAAGUUGUAUUUAUUUUUUGUGAAUUGGGGCAAUGAUGUAAAAGAUUAAAAAGUGUCAUUUACAGUAAUGGUAUCUGUUUUGGUAGGCGUAAAAAUGGUAGGUGGUAAGUUGUGAUUGGAAUGGAACUAAUAUAGUUUAUAAAAUUCCUUUAUGAUUACAUAUAUUGGAUGUGCUUUCAGAUUACAAGUAUCGAUUUUAAAAUGCAUAACUUCUUCGUGAAAGGCCAUGAAACUUUGCAGCAAAUCCAAUCUAACAACAUCAAAACAUUUUCCAGGUUUUGAUUGUUGUAAUCAAUUACUAGAAAGAUGGCUUUCUAGCCAUUGAUCUAGCCAAAUCUACCCUCUAACUUUGUAGAACUGAUUAAUUAUGAGUAUUUGAAAACACUUGAAAUAGUAAUAUCACUUAUUUAUAUAAUUGAGCCACUACAAAAUUUCACCUUACUAUCAACACUUUCCCUUUAAGUUCAAGUAUUAAAUCUCCAACUCUACCAUUUGUCCCUUUUAAAACAUGUUCUUGAAUAAAUGAACAUGCGAUUGAUACCAAUCUAAUUUGGUUAACUAAUGUAAAUAGAUCUAACUCUAUUUAAGGAAACCUCUGUAUAUGUUGUGAACUUGUGAUCCAGUUUUAAUGUAAUUAUGUCAUCGUGUAUUGAUCCAUAUUUGUCAUUUAGCAACUGUUACUUUUACUAUGUUAGUAACUUCCUAAAACCUUUGUAUGGUUCUAUAUAAGUAGUAUUAAACUUAAUGUUAAAAUAAAAUAAUUACAAUAAUUUAUUUCAAUGAUUUAAUUGAAAUAAUAAUAAAAUAAUUGGUAAAAACAAAAUUUUAAAUAAAUAAACUUAAACCAGUUGGAGUAGUAAUUACUUAUUUCUAAAUGUUCAUAAGGAAAAUUCUUUUCAGUAAUCAAUAAUAUCAAAUUAAACACUGCAAUUAAUAUUGUAUCAUAGAAAUAAAAUUUAGAGAUCUCUCUGUGAUAUAUACUCUAAAUGAAUUACAUCUUAAACAUUUUCGCAAUCCUACAAAGAAAGUAAAGUUGUAAAAAUUGUUUCCUUACCCUCCAUUUUUAAUAAGUUUAUAUAUAUUCAGGUCAUAUAUUCCUGUAUUAUAUCAGACUUUUUUGUUUUUCCAAUUCUAGGGAUUUUCACAAACCCACAGUAACAUUUCCUGCCAGUUUUGUGGUGUCCAGCUGCACACCUCUUCAAUUCUGUUAAGAGAAUACAUUUUAAUAAUUUAGUAACUACCUUAUUUUGUUUACACUGUAAAUCAAUGUAAUGAUCCGUUUUUCUUCUGUAAACAAUGAUUUCUGCUCAGAAAUCCACUCAUGCAUCAUAAGGCGGUAAAAUAUAAUAAACAUAAAAGGUGAAACUGAUUAAAUUUCAUUGUAAAACUGGCAUAUGAUAAAACACUGUUUCCAUAUAACUAUUCAAACAUAAUUGGGCUGCAACUAAGAUUUCCUAAUAUUUCAUUCUUCCAAUCCAACAAGUACGCAGAAAAAAAUGUUGGCAGCCUAAGCUAUCAAAAUAAAUAUUGGAGUUAAUUUAGUAAUAGUUCAAUAUCAGCUAAAGCUUUAAUCAUUGAAUUGCAUUAGGAAACACUCUUUCUACCAUUGGAUUUAACAGACAAUAAAGAAGUUUCCUUCAACUCAAUAUUUUAUCCUACUUCGGACCUGUUGCUCUGGUAACACUGUUUCAUAUACUACUGUUUGACCUACUUCAGGACCUGUUGCACUGGUAGCAAUGUUUCACCUAGCACAGUUUGACCUACUUCAAUACCUGUUGCUCUGGUAGCAAUGUUUCACCUAGCACAGUUUGACCUACUUCAGGACCUGUUGCACUGGUAGCACUGUUUCAUAUACUACUGUUUGACCUACUUCAGGACCUGUUGCACUGUUUCACCUACCACAGUUUGACCUACUUCAAUACCUGUUGCUCUGGUAGCAAUGUUUCACCUAGCACAGUUUGACCUACUUCAGGACCUGUUGCACUGGUAGCACUGUUUCAUAUACUACUGUUUGACCUACUUCAGGACCUUUUGCACUGUUUCACCUACCACAGUUUGACCUACUUCAAUACCUGUUGCUCUGGUAGCAUUGUUUCACCUACUACGGUUUCAAUAGCUGGAUUUCAUAAUCUUAGAUCUUGCCCAAGUGAUUGUUUCCAGUGUGAAUACAUGCUAAGUGACAUUUAUGGGUGAACUAGAUAUUUGGUAAAACUUGUAGUAAAAUCUCUACAGGCGGUUACUAUUUGAGUAUCAGUGAAAUGGUUGGUGAUCUCUUUUAUGAACUUAAAAAGCCCCUUGUGAUCUCUUUUAUGAACUUAAAAAGCCCCUUGUCCCCAUCUUCUUUGAGUAUCACACCUCCGUCAGUGCUGAGGAACUUUAUUAAAUUAUGCAAAGACAACCCUACUAUUACAUUAUAACCCUGUCAUAACAAGAAUUUUUCCAGAAAUUUUUGAAUGUUUAUAUAAGAUUUAUAGACAAGUACAUUUCAUUUAAUCUAGUAUUUCAAACUAAUCAAAAUUGAAAUCCUCGAACUGUUGGUACAUUUUUUUCUGAUCUGACAAACAUGUUCAGCUAUUUUAAAGAUUCCUUUACUGAUAAUAUGUCCUACUAAAAUUUGAAUGGUAUUGAUAUAAGUAUUAACAUAUAGCAAUAUUAGACCACUGUAUAAUUGUUUUGACAGACGUUCUAAAAAUAUCAUAACUAUAUUCAUUUCAUUGUUUAAAACAAUAAAGAAUGAAUUUUUGAAAACACUUGGAUGUCCCUUUUUAAACACUUUAUAUUGAUUGGUCUGUAGAAGUGUAUAUGAGAUAUUUUUAUAAAAUGUUUAAAAUGAAACCAAUUUAAACUUUUUUGAAGUUUUAAUUUAAUAGCAAAUUAUAUCUGAAUUAAUAAAUGUUAUGAUAAUUUUUCAAUGUUACUACAUAACAACAGUUCAAUAGACCAACAGUUGAUAGCAAUGAUUUUUACUUUUAAAAUAGUUGAAAGGAUGUAUUCGUAAAAUUUGAAUUGGUCUUGAACGUCUUGGUCUUCACAACAUUAAAAACUUACCUUUUUUAAAGAAUCAUGGGCAUAGAGACCUUGUGUCAGCAAAAUUUUGGUUGUAGAAGUUAUACAGUAAUACCAUAAACAGAUUAUCAGAAAAGUUAUUUAACAAUAAAUUUACUCCUGGGCUAAACACUUUUCUAAAUAUGAAGAUUUAAAAAUACCCACAAGAAGGUUACUGAAACGGUGAAUAUGAAACUUUAUUGUAAAAUACAAAGCAAUUUCAGGUACACCAUAAGCAGAUGAUUCUCCUAUAUCCCACACAACAUUAUAAAAUGCCAACAAAUUUUAAAUUCUAUUAAGAUACCAUGGUAACAUGUGUCAUGCGUUCUCUGUUGAAGAUUUCUUAUCUAAGCAUAUUUGCAAUUAAGAGUAUAGCCAUUAUGCUUCAGUAUUAUUAUUGAGGAUAUGUAGGUUUGAAUGGGACAAUCACAGACUAUACAUGAAUAAAGUAAUUUUAAUGCAUUUUGACUAAAAGUAUUUUCAGCAAAAGAAGAAUAUUUUUUUGCGUAUCUCUUAGAGAAGUAAUCACUAUCUUGUUGAUACAACAAUUUAAUAAAUACAUAUGAAAAAUAAAUGUCUUAAGACUUUCGUCCUCAGAAGAACACAAUACAUUUCAAUAUAUUAUCUCCUUUCCUUACAUAUCUCACACAACUGAAGUCCUAAAAGUUUGGUAUUUUAUUAUUAAAAUAGAACUAUAACCAACAAACCAAUGUUUAAACUUAUUUCUGAUUAGGUACCAUCAGGUUAAAUUCGUUUAUCAAUUGAGCACUGUUUUUUUAAGUACAAUUGUUUCAUUAUUGCAUAUAAUAAAUAUUUUAAAACGUGGAUCGACCUGGAUUCGAGUGUAUAGAUGAUGACAAAAUUACACUAAAACAUUUCACAUGAUAUUCGUUUAGCUUAGAUGAUAAAAAUAAAAUGAAAAAAGAAAACUAUUACUACUGUGGUGUGUAGAUGGAAAUAUAUUUCUAUUGUGACAUCGUUAUAUGUACUUCAGUUGUAUUAUAUUUAUUUUGUAUAAAGUUUUUCAAUUGAAUUCGUUUUCUUUCAUUAAAGGAAAUCAUAAUUCAAUUGUUUGGUACAUAGUUUUAAACUGUGGAUACUAAUAGAUCAGUGAUGGGAGUAGUUAUAACUAGCAAGUAAUACGUGAAACUAGCAAUACCGUAUUGUACUUUAAGGUUAUUGUAUUCGUAUUGUAUUGUUGUAUUGUGUUGGUGUUGAACAACUCUCGCCUAUUUACUUUGGAAGACCAGAUGUCAUGUGGAUGAAUUUUGUCACUGAAAUCUCAGAUUAUUGUUGAGCUUAGUGUUUCUACAAAUUUCAAUUGUGUUUAUCAAAAUUUGUUUAGUUCUUUGAGGUGGUUUUCUUGAAUUUGAAGACUAUCUAAUUUUGAGAAACAAAAUCACUUCUAACUACACAAACAGUUAGGUUGAGGUCCAUAUGAACAGUAUUUUAUUAUACGUAACAUUAUCUGAGUUUACAUUAUCAUCUUUUAAAUGACAGAUUCUGCUAGUUUCUACUAACUUUUUCAGUAUAGAUAGGUAAUGUUAAAACAGGCUGUACCGGCAACCAACUUGAUUUUUGCCCAUAAAGAAUCUAUUUUAAAUCUGAAACCAUUUUACGUCAUAUGAUAUAGUGAGUUGUCACUCUAUAAUUUUAAUACACAUAUAAGUGAUUUUUAUCCUGUUUCCAAUUUUCCAAAAAGAAGCCUUGUCUACAAUAGUGGAACAGUAUAAUAUUAUAGGAACCAAAACCCCUCACACACAUUUAAUACUUUAAUAUUAUUAAUGAACAGGCAGUGACAAAAAUCAUCAGAAGUAAUUUAUUACUCCUAGCAGACUGUUCCUGAUAUUUGUAUUCAGUAUAUUGUCGACCUUUAGACUUAUCCAACUUAGAGCCUUAUACUGUACUUAUAACUUAUUUGUGUAAUUUGAUUGAUAAUGAAAUUGUGAAAUGUGCUUUAUAGUGUGAGUUCUUCCACUUGUUAAAGUUACCACUGUAAAUAUUUGCCUUAGUCGUUUCUGUAUUGUUAGUCAACUUUCCAGUCCGCAUUUGCUUCUUUAUUUGUUUUUUUUUUUUACUUUUAUAAUUCUAAUUUGUUGAAACAUUCAAUAAUAAUUCUUUGUGAACUAAUUUAUUUAUAUAUUUCUUUUACAUUUUAUACUUCAGUACUUAUUUUGAUACACUUGUUUAUUGUUUAGAUUCAGUUUUACAAACAACUGUAGUUAUCUACUGUGUUUACUAGACAAUCAUUUUAUUCAAUAAAUGAAUAAUACGGUUUGAAAAAACUUAUCCAUAAAUAAAUUCCCCAAAACUGUAUACAGAUCUGUGUUUUGAAUUUUAAAAGACUGAAAACAAUGAAUAAUGAGUACAUGUCAGAGUAUGUGUUUGAUGUAAUGUCAAAUUGGGUGUUGUGGUGGUUAGAAUCGUAGUAGGCUUUCUGGCAUGAGUUAAUAAACAACAAUGAACAAUAAACUUAUUACAAAUUAACAAUGAACAAAAUAUUCCUGUUAAAGUUUAAUGAUUUAGUUUCUUUUAUUUUUUGGAAAUCUUAGUUACAAUGAAUUUUGUUUUUCUUUGGUAUGUUAUUUCUAGGUUGCUAUAAACCUCCAAGAGGUAAUAAAUUUCUCAAGUAAAGGAAAUUUCAAACUCUUGUCUAUUUUUAAUACUAUGUCGUAUUUAUGUGGGACAUUCCAAUUUCAUUUUUUUACCUUAUUUGAAUUGGUGGAAUAAAUAUUCCAUGUGAAUAAUUAACAAUAACUGAAACAGAGUUAUGACUUUGUAUAUCCUAAAAUUAUAAAAUAUCUGUCCAAGUCUUGGAUGAAUUCAUUAUCAGUUUUAUAAUUGCUAACUAAAGAGAAAGAUUAAUAAUGCAGGAAUACAUAUAUCCCCACAAGAUAAGAUAACAAUAUACUAGUUCUAUUAAUAGAUCUUUGAAAGAAACAUUCUCCCCAAUAUGGUAAAAAUAAAUCUCACCUCCUCAGGGUUAUCAAAUAAUGUUUGCUUUUAGAAUUUGUCUGUCAGUUAUGUUAAUUUUACUAUUUUUUUAUUUCUGUUUUAUUUUAUUAGCUAUUCAAUAAAAUACACAAACACAUGUAUAUUAACUGGUCAUCAAUUCUUGUCUCUGAAAGUUUGAACUGUUAGUAGGUUAUGAUGUACGGUCUAUGUCUAAACAUCAACGAUUGAAAUUCUAACUUGAAAUUAUAUUCUAGGCUUGAGAAGAAGGUGGAGUUAAACAAGUUUGUACAUUUUAUUCGUACCUAACCCAAUACAGGGUUGUGCUUCCUUUCAAGCGGUUUGUUUACUGGUGCUUACAACAAAAUUGUAGCAAAAUUUUAGUUUUACCUCUUUAGCCUAGCUUUACAGCAUACAAAUAAUCUUGAACUGAACUUGUUAUCCAACCAUCUUCUUCUUCAAGGUUAAAGCCAUAUUUAGGCACCUAAAGUAUUGAAUGUCGUAGUUAUGUUGUAAAAGACAUACAUGUAAGAUAGUUAUAUUUAGUUGUUGUGUUGUUGGUGAUAUAAGAGUUAUAUUCAGUUGGGUGGAUUUAGUAACAGGCCUUCAACGGUCUCUGAAGCUGCAUCUAUGGAAUUGAUCGAUUCUCCUACCCACACAAGUGAUACAUUUUCAUUCAUUUCUUAUAGCUGUUUUAGUAUUAUUCAUAAACAUUUUAUGGUUUUGUUAUAAGAUUUUGGCAUGUGAUGCUGUGUGUUGAAAUUCCAUCUGCUUUGGUAAGAGUAUUUAAAACUGUCUUUUCAUAGAAAACAUGUAUUAAUUAUGUCAAGCAGUUAAAAGUUAUAUUUUAUAGUAGCAUGUAUUCUUAUUUAAAUAAAUCUAUUUUCUUUCAGAAUCAAUAUUCAUCACUGGUUCUUAACCAAAUAUAUUAGAACAUGCUUGGCCACAUUACUAUUGAUAUAAUAUAUGGUAUAAAAACUCUCUGUAUGUUUUAGUCUAUUUCUAAUUUGAUGUAUCUGAAAAGUUUUUUUCCACGUAGACUAUACCCCCACGCUGACAAAGAUAUACUUUUAUAGAAUCUUUGCUACGUUCAAUAUAGAAUAUAUUUUUUAUUAGUGACUUAACAGUCAUUUGCUAGUUAUCAAUACAGUAGUACAUAAUUUGUAAGCAACAGUUGCAACACUUCAAUUAGUACCAUUUGAGUCCAAUACUUCAUCAUGAGAUGAAAUACAAUAGUUUAUGAAUUAAUCAUUAAUUCUAAUAUACUUUUGUACAAUUUAGAGUUCUUUUGAGUAAUAUUUAAUAUUUCCGAAAAAUGUAACUUUUGACAACACCUCACGGUUGUUUUUGGAUUUAACAGAGGUAAGAAUACCUAAUUAAUUGUCAAAAUGUUUUACCUACUUUUUCGAACAAUCAUUUCAGCAAAUCAUAUGGACUGGUUUAAUGCAUAUAACCUUGUUUUUUCACAAAAUAUUUUGCAAUUUAUAAGUGAGAUAAACGCUGAUAACUAACUCUACAGUAAUUUUUAUGUUGAGGCUUUGGAAAACUGUUAAAUAGCUAACACUGUCAUGAAUGUAAAGUGAUAAAAUGAGCAACUAAAUAAAAAUGUUUGUACUUUUGAUAAAUAAACUUCCCCCAAUUUUAUUCUCUUUGAAAUUAAUGAUCCAAAACCUUUUUAGGCACAUUUCAGCAAAAGGAAAUAUAUUAUUUUCAUGCAUGUUCAAGAGUUUUCAUGCAUUCAACAUAAUUUUUGUAUUAAGAUUGGAGUUGUUACUGUUAUCUGGAUGGGAAACAAAGAACUGUAAGACAAGUUGUUUGACAACGUAUUGAAUUCCAAUUUCAUUUUUAUUUUUCGUGUUGAUAAAUUUAAAUAUGUGCCUCAAAAUGGACCAGUACACAAAAAGUACCCCAUAGCAUUGGUUUUUCAGAUCAUCACAUGCCAAAAUGUGUAUGGUAUUAUUUACUAAUAAUUCAUUAAUAGUGAAGUAUUAAUUAGCAAUAUUAUUAAUUUUUUCAGUGUAUUUUUAAUUUUUUGUGUGUGUUUUUAAGUUGUUUUGUUUUGCUUUGUGUGAACUAUAAUUAUAAAUUUUGUUACGUUUUCUAAAUAUACAUGCUAUAUAAACUGUUGAAUUUUUGGUACUUCAAUCACUUUGCUAUUCACUGUGAUAUAAUUAAUUCACAGAUUGUAGUUUACUAUGAUAGUGAUGUCAAAACCUUUUACUCUCUUGUAAAAAGGUUUUACAAGGUUUCUUGUAAAUGACAUAUGGUAUUAUUAUAACUUUGAAAUAAAAGUGUUUUUGAAUCAAAUGCGCUUUUCAUUAGAAAUUGGUAAACAAAUAAUAUAAAAUUUUAAGUAUUGUUAUUUACCCAUGAUAUUGGAAUGGACAGUUAGGUUACUUUAAAUUAGUUACAAAAUUAACAUUUAAUACAGUUAUUAAUAUUUGUUGAUUAUUACAAAUUGGAUUUUAAAAGAUGCAAUUUUUAUCGUUAAAUUGUUAGUACUGAAUACUUGUAAUUAGAAAACCCGUUAGAAAUUGAUAAAGAUUUUAAACAACUGUUUAAAUUGUUAGUUAGUAUUUAAAUAUUGUUAUUUAUAUAUGGAACUGAAAUGGUCAUUUAUGUUACUUUAACAGAUACACAGCUAAAAAAUUUAUAUUUAAACUCAUUACUCAUGCUAAAAACUUUUUUUACUUAUAAACAUACCUUAUCAUGAGGUUAUUCCAGGAAAGGAAAAACAAAUUUCGGAUACCAAAUUUCUCGGAAAUGUGAUCCCAUCAGUUUUGUCUCUAAUCACAGACAGCACUAACAAAAAGUUUUUACUGUCUUAAAAGUCCCAUUUCACUAAAUUAAAUCCUUGUAUCAUUUUUACUUACACUAUUUAAAACAUAACUCCCAUCACCCUCUGAAAUUUCUUAGGGGCCUCCCACUUGCCAAAUCAGUUAAGUACACAUUUUGUUCUAAGUUACUGCCAAAGAAGAAGUCUUGUUAUUUGUUAUCCGUAGUUGUACUUGACCCUGUCAUUACAAUCCAUGGAGCACAGAUAGUAUUAUGAUGUAACACAAACAAAGACACUUCACAAUUACUGAAAAUGAAACUAUUGAGCUCCUGACUCAAAUAUAACAAUAUCAGGUUACUAACAACAGCUAUGAAAAGUCAAUGGCCUAGCACCAAUGCUGAAGGCAAACUAAGCGUAUAUUGCAAUAAUGGUGAAAGGUCUCUGAUCAGAGAUGUUAGUAGUAAAUAAGUUAAAUUAUUAACACAUCCUAAAUUUAGUACAAUUACUAAUUUUUUAUCAUUGCAAAUUCUAUUCACAAAGCUAAAUUUUAUCUUGUAGUUUAGAUAACUCAAUAAUUGUAAUUGGUACACAAAAUAUACUUGUAACAAAAAUUAAAUAUCAAGAUCUUUACUAAACUGUUUAUUAAAUUGUUAUCAACAUAAGUUAUAGUAGGAAGUUCACUCAGUAUUUAACAUCGUCUGGAUAUAAAAAUAGUCCUCACAAAGAGUUGUUUAGAGAAAUUGAUCCCACACAAAUUAUUCCAAGCAUAAUGAUGACUUGGUUUCCUUACCUGUUAAACGUCAGUGCCCAAUGGAAUCAAAUAGUAAUGGAAUAAUUUUAAAUAUGGUAAAAAUAUUUAAUUUAAAAUAAAUAAUUGAAAAUAAAUAUUAAAAAAUAAAUAAUGCUGUUUAGAAGUGUUUCAUUUUUAUCAAAUGGAAUUUUAAUAAAUCAAACUUCUUCAUUGCAUUUAAUGAAUUGUGUUAAAAUGCGAAUAAAACACAAAAUUGCUCUUAAUUAAACUGCAUAUUACUCUUGUCAGAUUCAUAUCUCGUAAGUAAAAAAGACAAAAGAGAUAUUGGGUGUAUUUCAGAGUAACUUAAUAUUUCUUUGCUGCUUCUACAACUCAUUAUCUUAGUCACUUAAUGUAAUUUUAAAUUUUUAACCUUGAAACACAAUAAGUCACAUAACCUGUUUAUUUAUUGGUAAAUUUAUAAUUCAUAAACUGUUUUGUUUGUAAUUAACAAAUUGAGGCAUUUUAAUGUUUCAUAAUGAUUUGUCUUAUCAUGAAUUAUGAUGUAGCAUGAAAUAAUUAUAUCAUUUGUUUACCUUAAAUUAUGUAAGAAAUUAGAAUCAUUCUGUCAGAUUUAAACCAAAAUAAGAAUGUAAAGGUAAAACACAAAAGUAACUAAUUAGCAAACAAAUUGAUAAAUAAUUACCUUUGUAUAUUUGCUUUGUAAACAAUACAGACACUACAUAAUAUCUUCUUCUUGUAAAGUGAUAAAAUACAAGUAACAAUAAAGAAAAUUUAUUAAGAUAAUGAGGUAAUAUGAUCAGAAGAAGCUAACUAAGCUCUCCAUACCUAGUCCAGUUUAGAGAACCUUGUAUGUAGAAUUGUUGUCAGUACAUGCUGAGGUACAAAGGGCAUGUAGUCACUAAUUGUGAAAUAUACUACCUGUAAAAAAAAAAAAACAAUGUACUAUACUGGUAUUUGUAAAUAUUCAGUUUUAAAAAUUAUAUUCAACAUUUGUUAUAGAGUGUCAAAAAUGUUAUAAAUUCAGUUUGUGUUUUUAUAGAACACUUUGUUUUUUGUUCACUUUGAGGAAAAUUCUGAAAUGCCAACAAAUUACUAGUUUGGUCAAAGUAAUGAUUUAACUAAUGUAUAGAGAUCAUUAGUUUUAUUUGGGAUAAAACCCAAAUUCCAAAGAAUUGUAACUAUUGAUGGAUGUAAUGAUUUAACCAAUAUUUAGGGAUUAUCAGUCUUCUGAUUUGUGUGAGAACUGCAAGAAUGCUAUACUUUUUAUGGAUGGAUGGAUGGAUGGAUGUUACUUUAAUGGCAUUAAUUUGAUUCUUUCUCUAAGGAAACUGAUUGACUGUAGGCCUAUAUAGUUCUGUUUACACUGAUUAUACAGUCUCAUUUUGCGGUUAAAGUAGUAAAAAAUUCCAGUUUAGUGAUUAAAGUACCAAAAGUCUAAAAAAGUUGAGUUUUAUUCAUGUUUUCGAUCACUGUUAUUGUUACGAGUUUGUUAGAUAUUUAUGUUUGUUUCAAUUAGUAUGUAAAUACACUUAAAAAUAUUUCCUACAUCUGUAUAUAAAAUGUUGUACAUAAAAUGACAAUCACAUAUCUAAUGUAGCUGUCUUUUAUUUUGUUUAUUUUUCUUGAAUAAUGUGAUGUGUGUAAAACAAUUUGACACCGUGAAAGUAAGCCGUAUUGUUUUAUUUUGUAAACGUCAGUAAUUUAAAACCACAUUAAUAUCAGUUAAGAGUUAUGUACGGUAGUUUUUAAUGAGGUGUUUGUUUGAGUUAGCAUUUUUCAAUGUUUAUUCUACAUUAUUGAUAUUUAUAAUUAAUUUUAUUCUUAAAUGCUAUUAGUGACUAUAUUAAACAAUGAAAUUUAAUCCAUUCACAUUAACAUUUUCAUUCUUAGAUUAUAAUUAAAUGUUUUACACACAUAACGUUAUGGAAAACAAUAUGGAUGCAAGUAUGUUUUCUUUUUUUAUUUUGAAAUACAUUUUUAGGUACACUGGUUCAUUCAUCAUUAACAUUUGAAUAAAGAUGCUCUUAAGACAAA